GACGAACGCUGGCGGCGUGCUUAACACAUGCAAGUCGAACGAAGUGGCGAACGGGUGAGUAACGCGUAAUCAACCUGCCCUUCAGAGGGGGACAACAGUUGGAAACGACUGCUAAUACCGCAUACUGAAGGAGGGGAUUGAGUGGGAUGAGCUAGGUGGAGGGGUAACGGCCCACCAAGGCGCGGAUCAGUAGCCGGUCUGGGAGGAUGAACGGCCACAUUGGGACUGGGACACGGCCCAGACUCCUACGGGGGGCAGCCGUUGGGGAUCUUCCGCCAUUGAAGAAAGUCUGACGGGGCAACGGCGCGUGAGUGAUGACGGCCUUCGGGUUGUAAAGCUCUGUUAAUCGGGACGCGGUACCGGAAUAGAAAGCCACGGCUAACUACGUGCCAGCAGCCGCGGUAAUAC
rnacentral:rRNA from 1 species